GACGAACCGUGCGAACGUUAUUCGGAUUCACUGGGCUUAAAGGGCGCGUAGGCGGGUCAGCAAGUCCGGGGUGAAAUCUUUCGGCUCAACCGGAAAAGGGCCUUGGAUACUGCUGAUCUUGAGGGAGGUAGGGGCAUGUGGAACUUCCGGUGGAGCGGUGAAAUGCGUUGAUAUCGGAAGGAACGCCGGUGGCGAAAGCGACGUGCUGGCCCUCUUCUGACGCUGAGGCGCGAAAGCCAGGGGAGCAAACGGG
rnacentral:rRNA from 1 species